CUUUAUUUUGUGCCAUUUCUAAAGAGCAACAAUUAUUUAAAUAAACCUGGAAGACAACCAUUACAGUCUCACAGGACUACAGGUUUACAUCAGACUACUAAAUUCGUGGUCCUGCUACCUCCAUCGGGUUGCAUGUAAACCACAUGAAUUAAACAUCCCAGAAAAAGAAGUUCCACAACCUCUUUUGGUGAGGUGCAGCAGCCCGCCAGGCUCCUCAGUCCAUGGGAUUUCCCCAGACAAGAAGACUGGAAUGGCUUGCCAUUUCCUGCUCCAGGUGAUCUUCCUGACCCAGGGAUUGAACCUGUGUCUCUUCAUAACAAAUAUCUGAAGCCUAAUAAGAAAGCCACAUACAUAGAGAAAAGCUCCUGGGAUCAACUGACACUAAGUCUGAACCCACCCGGAGAGAUGACCUGGAUGUUUCUUUAAAGGUAAUCUUCGCGACCCAGAGAUCAAACUCAAGUCUCUUAUGUCUCCUGCAUUGGCAGGCAGAUUCUUUACCACUGAGCCGCAUGAAGAAGCACAGCAUAAUGUAUGGAAAGCCUUAUACGAACUACACAAUGGAUGUUUAAUGAUUGUACCAAAUAUAAUCAUAAUGGUGGAAAUUUCCCCAAAAUCUCUGACCAAGAUUCUAAAGGUAUUAUGCCAGUGCUUUCUUUCGGGUCACAAGUUGGUAGAUUAUGGAUUUUGUUUAUUCAACCACCCCUUACUGCACAGUCACUCAGUGCCAAGGACCAGCAAUUCAGUGGCAAGAAAGUUUUAACACAGCUACCAGGGAAACACAGAAGAAAGAGAAUUGAGCAAGGAUAACAAGGUCUCACCCCAUCACAGUGCUUACCUAAAACUGAGGAGUCAGGGCAGGCCCUCAAAGACCUAUGCAUAAGAGGAUGUGGCACAGUAAUGCAGGUACAAGUCAGGAGGCAUGGACCACAGAGGACAGCAGGAUUUGGGGGUGGAAACCCUGUUCAGAGGGGCCAAGUCACAUCACAAAGAGCCUUGUAAAUUAUGCUGGAAAGUACAAAGUUCAUCUGAAAGCCAAUGGAAGCCAUUGAACAGAUGGAAAAAGAUGAGUAGAAAAAUCACGUCCAUGUGUAGGCAAAUUCACCCUGGCUGUUGUUGGGCAGGUAGAGGUUGGUUGAGGGGUGGGGAGGAGACAAAUGCAGAGAGAGGCAAAGAGCCCAGUGAGCAGGGGGAGGGCAAGUGUUGCAAAGAUGGGGAAAUAUUGGGCUGUUGUUACAUCUUCUGGAAUAACCCAAAUAGACUUUUUGGUCAACCCAACAUUUAGGUGUUAAAACAGACAGAACUUAAUGAGCUAAUCCUUUUGAUUCUGUGUGAAGCUUUAGCUUUGAAAAUCCUGCUGCUUCCCUUCAGAAGAGAGAAAAUCAGAGGCAAGAGAAACAUACUAUCAGAUAACAACAAUUCAACAAAAAAAAGAACAGUGUUUUUUUACUGUGCACAUAAUAAAAUUUCAAAUGCGUAGAGUCUAGUUUCUUGAACUAGCACUAUUUACAUACCACUUCAAUGAUACCUAUCAUGUCAGGAUCAAUAAAAGUCCCUUAGAAG